UCCCUCGUGGUCCAACAGGUAGGACUCUGAGCUUUCACUGCUGAGGGCACAGGUUCAAUCCCUGGUCAGGGAA
rnacentral:tRNA from 1 species